rnacentral:rRNA from 1 species
CCUACGGGAGGCAGCAGUGGGGAAUAUUGCGCAAUGGGCGAAAGCCUGACGCAGCGACGCCGCGUGAGGGAUGAAGGUUUUCGGAUCGUAAACCUCUGUCAGAAGGGAAGAAGUUGCAUGGGGCCAAUCACCUGUGCAUUGACGGUACCUUCAAAGGAAGCACCGGCUAACUCCGUGCCAGCAGCCGCGGUAAUACGGAGGGUGCGAGCGUUAAUCGGAAUUACUGGGCGUAAAGCGCACGUGGGGUGUAUGUCAAGUCACGGGGGAAAUCCCACGGCUCAACCGUGGAACUGCCUUUGAAACUGGCAAACUGGAGUAUGUGAGAGGGUGGCGGAAUUCCUGGUGUAGGAGUGAAAUGCGUAGAUAUAUGGAAGAACACCAGUGGCGAAGGCGGCCGCCUGGCCUGUUGCUGACGCUGAGGCACGAAAGCGUGGGGAGCAAAUAGGAUUAGAUACCCCAGUAGUC